rnacentral:tRNA from 1 species
GGAGCAGGAUUGUGGUUCAGUGGUAGAACUUGUAUUUGGCAUGCAGAAAUUCCCAAGUUCAAUCCCUGGCUCCUCCA